UACGGGGGGGGCAAGCGUUGUUCGGAAUUACUGGGCGUAAAGGGCUCGUAGGUGGCCAAUUAAGUCAGACGUGAAAUCCCCAGGCUCAACUUGGGAACUGCGUCUGAUACUGGUUGGCUUGAAUUCGGGAGAGGGAUGCAGAAUUCCAGGUGUAGCGGUGAAAUGCGUAGAUAUCUGGAGGAAUACCGGUGGCGAAGGCGGGUCUCUGGGCCACUACUGACGCUGAGGAGCGAAAGCGUGGGGAGCAAACAGG
rnacentral:rRNA from 1 species